AGAGUUUGAUCCUGGCUCAGAUUGAACGCUGGCGGCAUGCCUAACACAUGCAAGUCGAACGGAAAAGACGAAAACAAUCCCUUCGGGGUGCGUCUUCGGGCGUCGAGUGGAGGACGGGUGCGUAACGCGUAGGAAUCUACCUUAUAGUGGGGGACAACUCGGGGAAACUCGAGCUAAUACCGCAUAAGCCUUACGAGAGAAAGCAGGGGAUCUUCGGACCUUGCGCUAUUAGAUGAGCCUGCGUCGGAUUAGCUUGUUGGUAGGGUAAUGGCCUACCAAGGCAACGAUCCUUAUCUGGUCUGAGAGGAUGAUCAGCCACACUGGGAAUGAUACACGGUCCAGACUCCUACGGGAGGCAGCAGUGGGGAAUUUUUGGGCAAUGGCAUGGGGGAACCCUGACCCCCACGCCGCGUGGAGGAAGAAGGUUUUCUGGUCGUAAACUCCUGUCCGGAGGGACGAAGCAAGUGACGGUACCUCUGGAGGAAGCCCCGGAUAACUCCGUGCCAGCAGCCGCGGUAAUACGGGGGGGGCAAGCGUUGUUCGGAAUUACUGGGCGUAAAGGGCGCGCAGGCGGUUUCGUCAGUCAUGGGUGAAAGCCCCGGGCUCAACCCGGGAAUGGCCUGUGAAACCACGGAACUGGAGUGCUGGAGAGGGAAGCGGAAUUCCCAGUGUAGCGGUGAAAUGCGUAGAUAUUGGGAGGAACAUCGGUGGCGAAGGCGGCUUCCUGGACAGACACUGACGCUGAGGCGCGAAAGCCAGGGGAGCGAACGGGAUUA
rnacentral:rRNA from 1 species